GCGAUUCUUUAUGGUCUGCUUGAGCUGUUUCAUUGACUUUUUUUUUAAGCCCAACUUAAAAGUCCUCCCGCUCCAUCUCCUUAGCUGCCUGAACAGGCCUGUAAUAAACACAUCUCGGCCCUGACAGUUUAAGGGAAAAGUCAGAUUUAUUAGUUAUAUCAAGUUUAGGAGGAGCUCAGGGUGAUGCUCACACCAGCAGCCAAGCCUGGAUUCCCUCCCCCACCCCCUCGACACCCUCUCGGCGCCUCUAAGCGAUAGCUGAACAAUCGGUGGGGCAAAUCUUUUAUUUUCUUACACACAGAGAGAGAGAGUUCUUUUAAUUUUUAGCCUGGAAAAGAGAAGUCCAACUGAACUCAUCUCCUGAUGGGCUAAUGCCUAUGAUAAAAGAAAUGGGAGCUGUGACAGGUGACUAUUAUGGGAAAUGAUUCUACAAGCCAGGAGAUCGUAUUCUCAAGACACGGGGAGAAAAACUUCUCUCGCAAGUGUGCCCCCUUUUCAUCCCCAGCAUAGCCAGAUAUUAAUGUCUACACGCGCGCGCGCGCACCCACACCUACUAGAUCUGGGCAUCAGCUUGCCUGGGCCUUACGUGAUGCGCGCAUGACAAGACUGGUCUCCAAGCGAAGGGUAGAUCCUCAGAGAAGCCAAAGGGAGACUCUCCAGCGCUGCCAUCUACACUCAUAGAAAGUCUUCACUCCCCACCCCGCUCCCUUUGUGGCAUCCGCACACACCUAUGUCGCUUCGCUUCCCGCAUUAAGAUCCCCGCAGCUUUAUUUGUGCGGAAAGUCAAUAUCUGGUUGUGAGAAUUCGCCAUUUUGCGCAGGGAACGGGGUGGGGAGCGCAUGGGAGAAGACAGCUCUGACGCAGGAAGGCUGCAGAGCUUGCUGACCGCCAGUUUCCUGUGUCCUGCUAGGAUCUUCCGGAUCCAUCUCGGCCGUGAAACAAGGCACACUAUAAAAGCUGGCCAAUAUGGGUCCUUCUGUUGGCUGGGAGAUUCCUGCGCCCCUCGAGGCCACUCGACUACCGCGCCUGGUUUAAGAGGCCCAAAGGACCCUUUUCUGGAAAUAUUCUCCAGGGAACAUUAGAGGGAUUUACUCCUGAGUAAGGGCUGUACUGUAAACCUGCAAUCCUGCCCCCCCCCCUUUCUUGGGAACAAGUCCCCUACUCAGCUCCGUGGGACUUCGUUCCAAAGAAACAGCUGGUGUGGGAUCGCGCUGCCCCUGACCUCUGCACAGUUUUCAACUUGUUUGGGUUUCCUGGCUGAUGUGUCGGCAACUCCAAGAUUUCAGUGGCCAGCUGCCGCCGUCUGGUUGAGAGGAGACCGCCGCGCUCUGAAAGCACCUGGCUUUAAAAUGGGAAUCAUCUCGCACUUGGUCCCCUGAAGUGAGUAAGGACAUAAAGGAAAGCGAGUACGGAUCAAUUGAGAACUCUCAGGGAUCCAUCCAGGCACUGGUGAAAUCCUCGCUCCCUCCCAUGCACACGAAUCUGAGCAUCCGUGAAAAGUUCUGACAGGCACAACGUUUUCCUCUGGUCCAGAGAAGAUGGGUGUCUCCGAAAACAACCCCAGAGAGGACAGCAUUUCUUUUCUGAACCCACAAAGUGACUGCAAGUCCCACCAUUUCAAACGAACAGAGGUUACUUCUAUGUAAGUGUGCUGUGGGUCGUGGUCUUAGGCUCAGCCUGUCUGCAUCUCUGUUCUCCCAUAAAAUGACCUUAUCAGAUUACAAAGCCUUGGCUGAAACAUCGAAAGAGGAAUCCUGGUUGGCCCCACGCAGGAAAAAACAAAACCCCUUAAGCGGAGCCCGUGCAUUACUUCCAGAAUAUUACAACCUCGUUGAACAUAACUGAUCUGCUUAUUCUACCACCAUCCCAAUUCGCACGCCUAUUGAACACCAGGGAUGCGCCUUAUUUUAAAUUCUUCACACACACCCUCGCUGGUUUGCAUCUGAAAAUGCCAUCCGGCUGUCCUGAUAUUUGAGGUUCAACCGGUUUAGCAACUCCCCUCUGCUUAACCAAUUUGCCCAUUGCGGCCCAAGAAGGGAUUCUAAACACAGAUAAGAGACGCGGGAAACCUAUGCGAUUUCCAUGUAAAUAUGGUUAGGGCAACGUUGGGGUUGGCAGUCUUGAGGAAGUUAGAGCUCGCUUCUAUUUUUCGGGGCAUACUUUAGGCACCGCAAGAAGCUGGCGGGGAAAGCCGGCUUUUCCCAAUUAAUUACGUUGUGACCACAUUACUUUUCUUUAUUUCCUUUUUGCUCUCGGAGAGAGAGGAAAGUGAGCGUUUGAGAGGGAGGGAGAAAUUGACAAAGGAUUUCUAUAUUUGAGCCAGCUUCUUUUGGAGAGGUUAAGGAUCCCCGCAUGCAAUGAAGGAUCCAUUCAUUUCUCACGGCCUGAUUUCUUAUCCAUUUCCCAUUCAAAGACCCAGCCAGAUCCCUAAAAGAUGAGAUUUCCUGAAAGACUCAUAAAAUUGGCUAGGCUUCGCUCUAUUUUCGCUGAAUAAAUGCAGAGAUUGAGUGGGUUCUGUUUUAUACCUAUUCUAAGAGAAAUGUGAUAUCCUUAGGGACAGCAAAGGCAAUCUUGGAGUGGGGAAGACAGAACGUAAUCGGAAUUAAAGGUGGGUUUUGUAAUUAUUUUUAAUGGGCCUUUCCUUGUCAUAAAAGUCUUUCUGUCUCCCCCUCUCUCUCGUUCGGUGGAUCUCCCUGUUGUCCCUUUAAUCUGUUGACACUCCCCACCACCACCCUAGAUAAACAGGCUGCCAUCGAUCUUUUCAUUAGGUGAUCAAAUAACAAACAGAGCAGGUGAAAGACAACAGCAUUAGCACGCUGACACUCGUCUGCAAUCCCUCUUUAGGGGAUGAAAAGUCCUGGCAUAAACACUCAGCCCCACUGAAUGGAUCUGUUCACCUCUUCCUUAAGCCUACCUAGGCAAUAGGAGGACUAUGGGAUUCAGCUCUGGAUCUGGACAAGUCGAUCCCUGCUCAUUCCCAUCUGAGGUUGUUCCCGGAGGCAGCUGGUCCCAUGAUCUUAAGGAUUGGGGAUGGGGGGGUUCCACAACAUUGUUCAAACAAAAAUUAUUAUUUUUUGCUACUUCUGCUUCCUAACUUCUUACAUCUCUGUCUAUCCCUCUUCUCCGCCCCCCCCCCGCCCCCAUC